rnacentral:rRNA from 1 species
GUCCAGGGGGAAACGACUGUUUACCAAAAACACAGGUCCGUGCGAAGUCGUAAGACGAUGUAUACGGACUGACUCCUGCCCGGUGCUGGAAGGUUAAGAGGACCUGUUAGGCGCAAGCCGAAGCGGAGAAUUUAAGCCCCAGUAAACGGCGGUGGUAACUAUAACCAUCCUAAGGUAGCGAAAUUCCUUGUCGGGUAAGUUCCGACCUGCACG